rnacentral:rRNA from 1 species
CAGCCGCGCGGGAAAACGAAGGGGGCUAGCGUUGUUCGGAAUUACUGGGCGUAAAGGGCGCGUAGGCGGCCAUUCAAGUUAUAUGUGAAAGCCCUGGGCUCAACCUAGGAAUUGCAUUUGAUACUGUUUGGCUUGAGUUCGGGAGAGGUGAGUGGAAUUCCCAGUGUAGAGGCGAAAUUCGUAGAUAUUGGGAAGAACACCAGUGGCGAAGGCGGCUCACUGGACCGACACUGACGCUGAGGCGCGAAAGCGUGGGGAGCAAACAGGAUUAGAUACCCCGGUAGUCCCUGUCUCUUAUACA